rfam:Gossypium hirsutum cultivar TM-1 chromosome 6, whole genome shotgun sequence
UGUUAAAAUUUUCAUCUAUUUAUGCUGUUAAAAAUUAACAUAGUUGAUAGAAUAAUCAUAAAGUAACACAUGGCAUGCCAUGUGUACCUCACGCUAACAUACAUGGACUAAUCUUUAACAGUAGAUAUGGAUGAAAGUUUUAACA